AAGAUAAGCUGCUCCAGAGUCAAUAAAGAGAAGCUGCUCCAGAGAGUCAAUAAAGAUCCUACUAAAGCCUCCGUCCUGUCAGAGUGGAUGUCAGGUGUGUGUGUCAGUGUCUUGUGAUGUCAGAGUUGUGUGUGUGUCAGUGUCUUGUGAUGUCAGAGUUGUGUGUGUGCCAGUGUGUUGUGAUGUCAGAGUUGUGUGUGUGUCAGUGUGUUGUGAUGUGUCAGGCUUUGUGGAACUGUUUUGAAGAGGGUUCUCUGUAAUGAAUGUGUGUCUGUGUGAGAGAAGGAGGGCUGUUAGUGGUUUAUUCUGAUGGAGCAGGAGAGAUGCUUUUGAAUUAGUCCAGAUCAGAGCUUCUUCUUCACUUUGAUCCGAGUGCAGGGGCUGAGACCAAAAAACGCUUCCUCUCCGUGUUCAUACAUGUCUUGAUUUUCUCCACGGUGAAUCUAACAUGCUACUGUAUAAGAACAAUGGACGUGUUCUAUUAUUACUAUAGCAGGUCUAGAAUAUAACACACCUUUAUCCAAUCGCUGUAGUGUGUAAAAUACAGAAGUCAAGCUUCACUAAUGUGCUGCUGAUGCAUAUAUCAUAUCCCUGUUGGUUUAGUGGUUUGUGUUAUUGUUAAAACACUCCUAUCAGACCUGCAGACCAGAGAGAAGGUGCUGUUGCAGAGUUAUUAAAUGUGUCAAAUUCAUUUAUUGUCACUGUAAUGUUUUUGCACAUCCGUGCAGUUUUUCCCCUCGGCAGUCACAAUCUCCGGAUGUGUCCCAGUGGCACCCUAUUCCCUAUGUAGUGCACUACUUUUGACCAGGGCCCAUAGGGUUCUGCUGAAAUGUAGUGCACUAUAUAUGGAAUAGGGUACCAUUUGGGAUGUGUUUCUAUCUCACGCCAAUCACAAAGAACUAGUCUUCUACACACGUCAGGAGUGAAAGAUAAGCAUUCAGUAGUGGGUGACAUUGUUAGGUGGCAAGUGUGUGUGUGAGAUCAGGCAGGUGUUUGUGUGGGAUGUCUAAGUGUGUGUGUGUGUGUAUCAGGCAGGUGUUUGUGUGGGAUGUCUAAGUGGGAUAUGGGGCUGUAAUUUUCUCUCUUUAAAAGUGAUUGUAUGUAGGACACAACAGGACAGUAGUGUCUCUCUGGAAUCUAUCAGCGAUCAGGAGAACACAUAAAGAGUCCCAGCUGUUCAGUCUCUCUGGAGAGGAAUGGGACCUCUGCUUUGAUUCAGUCUCACUGGAGA
rnacentral:lncRNA from 1 species